rnacentral:rRNA from 1 species
GAUGAACGCUGGCGGCGUGCCUAAUACAUGCAAGUCGAGCGAACAGACGAGGAGCUUGCUCCUCUGACGUUAGCGGCGGACGGGUGAGUAACACGUGGAUAACCUACCUAUAAGACUGGGAUAACUUCGGGAAACCGGAGCUAAUACCGGAGAAUAUAUUGAACCGCAUGGUUCAAUAGUGAAAGACGGUUUUGCUGGCACGUAUAGAGGGAUCCGCGCCGCAUUAGCUAGUUGGUAAGGUAACGGCUUACCAAGGCAACGAUGCGUAGCCGACCUGAUAGGGUGAUCGGCCACCCUGGAACUGAGACACGGUCCAGACUCCUACGGGAGGCCGCAGUAGGGUAUCUUCCGCAAUGGGCGAGAGCCUUACGGAGCAACGCCGCGUGAGUGAUGACGGUCUUCGGAUCGUAAAACUCUGUUAUUAGUGAAGAACAAAUGUGUAAGUAACUAUGCACGUCUUGACGGUACCUAAUCAGAAAGCCACGGCUAACUACGUG